GAUGAACGCUGGCGGCGUGCCUAAUACAUGCAAGUCGAGCGAACAGAUGAGGAGCUUGCUCCUCUGACGUUAGCGGCGGACGGGUGAGUAACACGUGGAUAACCCACCUAUAAGACUGGGAUAACUUCGGGAAACCGGAGCUAAUACCGGACAAUAUAUUGAACCGCAUGGUCCAAUAGUGAAAGACGGUUUUGCUGUCACUUAUAGAUGGAUCCGCGCCGCAUUAGCUAGUUGGUAAGGUAACGGCUUACCAAGGCAACGAUGCGUAGCCGACCUGAGAGGGUGGUCGGCCACACUGGAACUGAGACACGGUCCAGACCCCUACGGGAGGCAGCAAUAGGGAAUCUUCCGCAAUGGGCGGAAGCCUGACGGAGCAACGCCGCGUGAGUGAUGAAGGUCUUCGGAUCUUAAAACUCUGUUAUUAGGGAAGAACAAAUGUGUAAGUAACUAUGCACGUCUUGACGGUACCUAAUCAGAAAGCCACGGCUAACUACGUG
rnacentral:rRNA from 1 species